rfam:Taphrina deformans PYCC 5710 genomic scaffold, scaffold00126
GGAACUUUGGCCGAGCGGUUAAGGCGCUAGCUUAAGGCGCUAGUUCGAAAGAGCGUGGGUUCAAGUCCCACAGGUUUCA